CUACGGGUUGCUCCAGUGGGGAAUAUUGGACAAUGGGCGAAAGUCUGAUCCAGCCAUGCCGCGUGGAUGAAGAAGGCCCUAGGGCUGUAAAGUCCUUUCGGUGGUGAAGAUAAUGACGGUAACCACAGAAGAAGCCCCGGCUAAUUUCGUGCCAGCAGCCGCGGUAAUACGAAAGGGGCUAGCGUUGUUCGGAAUUACUGGGCGUAAAGCGCACGUAGGCGGCCUUGUAAGUUGGGGGUGAAAUCCCGGAGCUCAACUCCGGAACUGCCUUCAAAACUAAAAAGCUAGAGGAUGUGAGAGGAUAGUGGAAUUCCGAGUGUAGAGGUGAAAUUCGUUGAUAUUCGGAAGAACACCGGUGGCGAAGGCGACUGUCUGGCACAUUUCUGACGCUGAGGUGCGAAAGCGUGGGGAGCAAACAGGAUUAGAUACCCUAGUAGUC
rnacentral:rRNA from 1 species